UGAGGAAUAUUGCGCAAUGGGGGCAACCCUGACGCAGCGACGCCGCGUGAGUGAUGAAGGCCUUCGGGUCGUAAAGCUCUGUCAGGUGGAACGAACCGUGCAUGGCUAAUAUCCAUGCAUCUGACGGUACUACCAAAGGAAGCACCGGCUAACUCUGUGCCAGCAGCCGCGGUAAGACAGAGGGUGCUAGCGUUGUUCGGAAUUACUGGGCGUAAAGGGCGUGUAGGUGGCACGGCAAGUCGGGUGUGAAAUCCCAUGGCUCAACCAUGGAACUGCAUUCGAUACUGCCGAGCUAGAGUUCGGGAGAGGGAGGUGGAAUUCCCAGUGUAGAAGUGAAAUUCGUAGAUAUUGGGAGGAACACCGGCUGCGAAAGCGACCUCCUGGCCCGACACUGACACUCAUACGCGAAAGCGUGGGGAGCGAACA
rnacentral:rRNA from 1 species